UGCAAGUCGAACGGAAAGGCCUGCAGCUUGCUGCGGGUACUCGAGUGGCGAACGGGUGAGUAACACGUGGGUGAUCUGCCUUGCACUUCGGGAUAAGCUUGGGAAACUGGGUCUAAUACCGGAUAGGACAGCUGUUUAGUGUCAGUUGUGGAAAGUUUUUUCGGUGCAAGAUGAGCUCGCGGCCUAUCAGCUUGUUGGUGGGGUAAUGGCCUACCAAGGCGUCGACGGGUAGCCGGCCUGAGAGGGUGUACGGCCACAUUGGGACUGAGAUACGGCCCAGACUCCUACGGGAGGCAGCAGUGGGGAAUAUUGCACAAUGGGCGGAAGCCUGAUGCAGCGACGCCGCGUGGGGGAUGAAGGCCUUCGGGUUGUAAACUCCUUUCGACAGGGACGAAGCGUAAGUGACGGUACCUGUAUAAGAAGCACCGGCUAACUACGUGCCAGCAGCCGCGGUAAUACGUAGGGUGCGAGCGUUGUCCGGAAUUACUGGGCGUAAAGAGCUCGUAGGUGGUUUGUCGCGUCGUCUGUGAAAUUCCGGGGCUUAACUCCGGGCGUGCAGGCGAUACGGGCUGACUUGAGUGCUGUAGGGGAGACUGGAAUUCCUGGUGUAGCGGUGAAAUGCGCAGAUAUCAGGAGGAACACCGAUGGCGAAGGCAGGUCUCUGGGCAGUAACUGACGCUGAGGAGCGAAAGCAUGGGUAGCGAACAGGAUUAGAUACCCUGGGUAGUCCAUGCCGUAAACGGUGGGCGCUAGGGUGUAGGGGGCUUCCACGUCUUCUGUGCCGUAGCUAACGCAUUAAGCGCCCCGCC
rnacentral:rRNA from 1 species